UACGGAGGGUCCAAGCGUUAUCCGGAAUCAUUGGGUUUAAAGGGUCCGUAGGCGGUUUUGUAAGUCAGUGGUGAAAGCCCAUCGCUCAACGGUGGAACGGCCAUUGAUACUGCAAGACUUGAAUUAUUGGGAAGUAACUAGAAUAUGUAGUGUAGCGGUGAGAUGCUUAGAGAUUACAUGGAAUACCAAUUGCGAAGGCAGGUUACUACCAAUAUAUUGACGCUGAUGGACGAAAGCGUGGGGAGCGAACAGG
rnacentral:rRNA from 1 species